rnacentral:rRNA from 1 species
AUACGGAGGGUGCAAGCGUUACUCGGAAUCACUGGGCGUAAAGCGCGCGCAGGCGGUCUUUUAAGUUGGAUGUGAAAGCCUACGGCUCAACCGUAGAACUGCAUCCAAAACUAUUAGACUAGAGUGUGGGAGAGGAAGAUGGAAUUAGUUGUGUAGGGGUAAAAUCCGUAGAGAUAACUAGGAAUACCAAAAGCGAAGGCAAUCUUCUGGAACACUACUGACGCUGAGGUGCGAAAGCGUGGGGAGCAAACAGGAUUAGAUACCCCAGUAGUCC